UACGGGGGGGGCAAGCGUUGUUCGGAAUUACUGGGCGUAAAGGGCUCGUAGGCGGCCAACUAAGUCCGACGUGAAAUCCCCAGGCUUAACCUGGGAACUGCGUCGGAUACUGGAUGGCUUGAAUUCGGGAGAGGGAUGCAGAAUUCCAGGUGUAGCGGUGAAAUGCGUAGAUAUCUGGAGGAAUACCGGUGGCGAAGGCGGCAUCCUGGCCCUGUCCUGACGCUCAGGGGCGAAAGCGUGGGGAGCAAACCGG
rnacentral:rRNA from 1 species